rnacentral:lncRNA from 1 species
AUUUUUUUGUCUUCCUAUACCAGAUUCCCAUGUCUGUUGUUCCUUUGAUGUAUCUGAGCACUCUUUUUGCAGCUUGAAAAUGCAAAACACUUGGUUCUUGUCUAAACCGUGAGAGCAAAUUUGUAGCAUACAUGAUGUCUGGUCUGGUAAUGGUUAAAUACAGCAAGCUUCCAACCAAACUUCUAUACACUUUCUCAUCCGCUUUUGGACUCUCAUCAUCUUUUACCAGCUUCGGAUUUUGAACCAAGGGAGUCUUGACCAGCUUGCAAUUUUCUAUAUUGAAUUUCUUCAAAAUUUCUUUGGCAUACCUUCUUUGACAGAUAAAAAUACCUUCUUGUGAUUGAUUUACUUCCAUUCCAAGAAAGUAUUUCAUUUUCCCCAAAUCAGUCAUCUCAAAUGCCAACAUCAUUUCAGCUUUUACUUUGUCAAUUAAAGGUUCAUUGCUGCCGGUUAUUAGAAGAUCAUCAACAUACAGAGAGAUAAUGAUUGAUUCUUCCUCCACUUGCUUAAUGUAUAAGGUUUGCUCAUUGACACUUUUCACAAAACUAAGACAACUCAAAUGCUCAUCAACUCUGCUGUACUAGGCUAUUGGAGCCUGCUUCAAGCCAUAUAAUGCCUUCUUCAAAAGAUACACCUUAUCUUCAUUUCCUUCCACCAAGAAGCCUUCAGGUUGCUCAAUGAAAAUUUCUUCAUUUAGGUAACCAUUUAGGAAGGCAGACUUCACAUCCAAUUGAUGAAUUUUCCAGCCACUUUGAGCAGCAAUUGCAAGCAAUAAUCUG